GUCCAGAACGACUCUCGGCAACGGAUAUCUCGGCUCUUGCAUCGAUGAAGAACGUAGCGAAAUGCGGUACUUGGUGUGAAUUGCAGAAUCCCGUGAACCAUCGAGUCUUUGAACGCAAGUUGCGCCCGAAGCCAUUAGGCCAAGGGCACGCCUGCCUGGGUGUCACUAA
rnacentral:rRNA from 1 species